CUACCACCUUGGAAACAUCCUUCUCUGAUACCAUCGCCGACAUCUUCUCAUCUGUAACACCAGAAGAAUUAGUACUAACACUCUUUACUUCAUCAGCAUGCCUCUUCGCAAUCCUUUCCCUCCAAUUCCAAAAGCUUCUGCUUAGCAGCCUGCUUCCUCCUCUCCUCCUCCAAAAGAAUUCUGUGUUUCUCCUCCUCUCUAGCUAUCCUUUGUUCUUCAGCUCUCCGCAUGGAUUCCAGUCUCUCUUGUUCAGCUCUCCGCAAGGCAUCCAGUCUCUCUUCUUCCAACCUUCUUUGUCGUUCUUCUUGUUCCCUAGCCAACCGCAUCCUCUCCUCUUCUUCUCUCCUAGCAAGUUCCAUAGCUCUUUCAUGUUCUUCCAUUAUCCGCUGUCGCUCUUGUUCCUGCAUCUUCUGAACUCUCUCAAGUUCAGCUUCAAAAGAUUCCCGAACAGGGUCAUGAAAAUCAGUCUGUUUAAGCACAUCUUUCUUCUUCUUAACAAGCCCAACAAGCCCCCCAGAAAAGGGAUCUCGUCCAUCAAAACCAGCAGUUCCAAAGUCCUUGAUGAAGGGGUCCUCUAGAUAAGGCUUGUCACUCUUUGAGAAUGAGCGCUUAUCCCUACCAAAAUUCAGUAUUGGAUCAUUAAUUGGAAGCCCUUUACCACCUGAAGAAAAAGAUGAUUUGGAUAGCGAGUUAUUCUGGUAAAUAUCUCUGUAUCUGUUGUAUUGUUCACUUCCAUGACGCUCUCGAGUGUUCCACUCAGGCUGUCGACUGCCAAAAGAGUCCAUCUUAUUAUUCCAAGACUGCCUCCCACCUUGUCCAUACCAUGAAUCCCUUCUUCCAGCAUCUUCCUGAGCACUGUCUCGAAAAGGUGAUGGGAUGUACUUAUUCUCCUUGGUUACUUCUCUGUUCAGAGUGGAUGGCCUUAUGCCAAUACCAUUUUUUUCAUUCCCGGCCUCUUGGACACCAAAUCCAUCUUUCGAAAGAGGUGAAGAAGCUCUCCAUGAGUUUCCUUCCCGUCCCUCUCGGCUAGACAUUCUCACAUCUUGCCCAUAAGUAUCCACUUUAGUGACUUCACUGGAAGAAAUCUUUCCAGUU
rnacentral:misc_RNA from 1 species